rnacentral:rRNA from 1 species
AACGCGAAGAACCUUACCAGCCCUUGACAUGUCCCGUAUGGGUGGGGGAGACCCCAUUCUUCAGUUCGGCUGGCGGGAACACAGGUGCUGCAUGGCUGUCGUCAGCUCGUGUCGUGAGAUGUUGGGUUAAGUCCCGCAACGAGCGCAACCCUCAUCUUCAGUUGCCACCGGGUUAUGCCGGGGACUCAUAGGAGACUGCCGGGGUCAACUCGGAGGAAGGUGGGGAUGACGUCAAGUCCUCAUGCCCCUUAUAUCUUGGGCUGCAAACAUGCUACAAUGGCCAGUACAGAGGGCUGCGAGACCGCAAGGUGGAGCGAAUCUCAAAAAAGCUGGUCUCAGUUCGGAUUGGGGUCUGCAACUCGACCCCAUGAAGUCGGAGUCGCUAGUAAUCGCGAAUCAGCAACGUCGCGGUGAAUACGUUCCCGGGCCUUGUACACACCGACAUA